rnacentral:misc_RNA from 1 species
AAAGUCGUAACAAGAUCUCCGUUGGUGAACCAGCGGAGGGAUCAUUAAAGAGUUGCAAAACUCCCCUAAACCAUCGUGAACCUACCUCUGAACAGUUGCUUCGGCGGGCCGGCACCCCCCGGGGGCGCCGCCAAAGGCCCGCCGAAGGUACCCAAACCAUUGUCUUUACAGGCCUCUCUGAGUAACGUACUUAAUAAGUCAAAACUUUCAACAACGGAUCUCUUGGUUCUG